GGGGACCUCGAGUGCCAGCAUACAAUGUUGGCUGUCCAGAUGCCUAAAAAGCAUUUGAAGCAAGGGCCGGGCAAGACCGGUGCCAGCCGCCGCGGUAACACCGGCGGCUCGAGUGGUAACCGCUAUUAUUGGGUUUAAAGGGUCUGUAGCCGGCUGGAUAAGUCUCUUGGGAAAUCUGGCAGCUUACCUGUCAGGCUGCUAAGAAAUACUGUUCGGCU
rnacentral:rRNA from 1 species